rnacentral:lncRNA from 1 species
CAGAUACUUGACAAUUCCCAGGCAAGAGGUUUUUAAGGGAGAAAGGCCUGAAAAAACCUGAAAGCAAAGGCAGGUAGCUGCCUCCAGGUGCAGCACAGGGUAAGGUGAAUGUGCUUAUAGAUUUUCCAUGAAAAGAAUUUCAGCCAAAAAAAAAAAAAAACCAACCCAAUAAAAUGACCUGUUUGGUGUGGUUUAGUCGAUGAACUCUACUGUUCCUCCUGGAUUCCUGCACAUGGUCUGGACGCAGGCACUGGACGUGUCUGACCUCAGUACUCAGUCAUGUCUCAUGGGACAACUGUCCUGGAAUAGAGCCUGUCGCUCUGGAAAUGCUGGUGAUGAAACAACUGGGUGAAGAGAAGCUCGCAGGACCUUGCAGAUGCUCAGUGGGCCAUCAAACCAAAUCAAAUCGGGAGAGUAACCGUGUAGUUUAUCCAGCCUGAGAGACAAAAACCUGUGAAGAUUUGUGCUCUCCAGUCCUCUGAGGAUGCCCAGGUAUCAGCUUGACAGUAUCAGCUGUGUCACAUCUCACAUCAGACGAUGGUGUGUAUGUUCACCUUCGUGGGACUUGGGGAAAUAAUCAAGAAGGAACCAAGCCUGCAUUUCCCAAAACAAGUUUUUCAGCACCCAAGCCCAGCAGAAUCAGAAAGGAUGGAGGAGGGAGAACAAGUGGAAGUAGACACAGCUGGUCCUAGCACAUACAAGGGACUAAUGUGUUUCUACAGCCCAUUGCUCUCCUCUCACAGAGAUCAUGACAGGUAUGGCUGCCCUGUUAGGUUUUUUUAGUAAAUAACUCAAUCCAUCUUGGCUUCCUUUUCUGUAAGAUUGAGUUCAAGCUGAACAGACCUCAAGUUUCCUUUUCAGUUUCUUCACAGAAGUUAAUGUGUAAGAAGAAAAAUGAAGAGCAAUUUGGUAGCUACUAGAGAAGUGUUUACUCACCUCAGUUAU